rnacentral:rRNA from 1 species
AUUGAACGCUGGCGGCAUGCUUUACACAUGCAAGUCGAACGGUAACAGGCCGCAAGGUGCUGACGAGUGGCGAACGGGUGAGUAAUGCAUCGGAACGUGCCCAGUCGUGGGGGAUAACGCAGCGAAAGCUGCGCUAAUACCGCAUACGAUCUAUGGAUGAAAGCGGGGGACCGUAAGGCCUCGCGCGAUUGGAGCGGCCGAUGUCAGAUUAGGUAGUUGGUGGGGUAAAGGCUCACCAAGCCAACGAUCUGUAGCUGGUCUGAGAGGACGACCAGCCCAACUGGGACUGAGACACGGCCCAGACUCCUACGGGAGGCAGCAGUGGGGAAUCUUGGACAAUGGGCGCAAGCCUGAUCCAGCAAUGCCGCGUGCAGGAAGAAGGCCUUCGGGUUGUAAACUGCUUUUGUACGGAACGAAACGGUCCUGGUUAAUACCCGGGGCUAAUGACGGUACCGUAAGAAUAAGCACCGGCUAACUACGUGCCAGCAGCCGCAGUAACAC